CGCUAUCACUCCUACGGGAGGCAGCAGUGGGAAUAUUGCACAUGGGGAAACCUGAUGCAGCCAUGCCGAGUGUGUGAAGAAGGCCUUCGGGUUGUAAAGCACUUUCAGUAGGGAGGAAGGUAGUGUAGUUAACACCUGCAUUAUUUGACGUUACCUACAGAAGAAGCACCGGCUAACUCCGUGCCAGCAGCCGCGGUAAUACGGAGGGUGCGAGCGUUAAUCGGAAUUACUGGGCGUAAAGCGCAUGCAGGCGGCCUGUUAAGUCAGAUGUGAAAGCCCGGGGCUUAACCUCGGAAUUGCAUUUGAAACUGGCAGGCUAGAGUCUUGUAGAGGGGGUAGAAUUUCAGGUGUAGCGGUGAAAUGCGUAGAGAUCUGAAGGAAUACCAGUGGCGAAGGCGGCCCCUGGACAAAGACUGACGCUCAGAUGCGAAAGCGUGGGGAGCAAACAGGAUUAGAUACCCUGGUAG
rnacentral:rRNA from 1 species